GUGAGUAUCACUGGGGGAUCUUGUUUAAAAUGCAGAAUUUGAUUCUGUUGACACAGGGUGGGGCCUGAGAAUCUGCAUUUCUAACAAGUUCCCAGGUGAUACUGAU
rnacentral:pre_miRNA from 1 species